ACCUAUACGGAUAUAUUAAUGUUAUAGAAAAAAUAUGUAAGCAAGAAUCCUGAAGCAAUUUGAAGAUGUAUAGCGACACAUGACUCAGAGGGCAUUUCGAAUCAUGUUGUUGUUUUGCCUCGGAGUAUCAAGACGGAGUAUAAGCAAUGUAAGAACAAAUAAACUCCGGGCAAAACAAUGCCGCCGCUGCUACAGGCCACCGUCGAACGAAGACGAAUUUGAAUUUUCCGACUCCCCCCCGACCGGUAUAAAUAAACAGACGCGAUCGCGUGCGACACAGUAUCGAACAGUUCAUAUCGAGUAUCAACGCGACGAACAAUAACGAGUAUUUAUUCCGAGUUUUAUAUUGUAUCAACGAUUCACUAAUGAACAUAUGGUGAUUGAAGAAUUGUUGAAGCUUUUCGUUGGUGAAGUUGAUACAGAGUUGCUCAAAGCUGUUGUACUGCUCGAGACCAAGGAGGGGAAAAGCAACGGAACAGAAAACAGAGCAGAUGAUUUUAAUGAGUAUCGGGAGGAACGAAUUGAAAACGGACAGUGUUGCAACUGCCGUUGCCAUUGCAGGGAUGAACAAACACAGAUAAAAGAGACAAGGGAAAGCAAGGUAUAGAGAAACGAAGAAGAACAAGGUAGAUGUAUCGAAUACCUUUGUUUUCGGUGACAGCGAAAAAAAAAUGGCAACAAAAGAAAUAUCCAAUACUAUGAUAAGAAUAGAUAAGCGUGAACAAAAUGCGAGCUGAUCUACCAUCAGAAUAUCGACGACCAAUCAAACAGGUUCUAAUCAUAUUUUUGGUCAAAAGCUCUCGACAAACAUCGAUGAUCGUUUCCACCGAUCAGGCCGUUGGCCGUUUCUUCAAUUUCUCGUUUUCUCCGUCUGUUUGUCAGUUUGUUUUGCUUUGCUUUGCUGUUUUAUUUUUAUCUUUCUGAGAAAAGUGCGGGAAUACCUUCUCUAUCAGUUCGAUACAAGCGGCCAAAUCCAUGCCGAAGUCAAUAAACACCCAUUCGAUGCCUUCUUUCUUGUACUCCUCUUGUUCAAGUACGAACAUAUGAUGAUUGAAGAAUUGUUGCAGUUUCUCGUUGGUGAAGUUGAUGCAGAGCUGCUCAAAGCCGUUGAACUGUCGUGUCGUUGUUAUAACGCAACGAGCGUAGUGCGUGACACAGCGUGGCGAAUCAGGAAGGAUCAAAGGUGAUAUAAGGAAGGGGAGAGAAACAGGCAGAAAGAGACCGAGAGAGAGAGAGAGAGAGAGAGAGAGAGAGAGAGAGAGCAGAAAACAAAGAGGAACAAAAGAACACAAUCAGUAGAGUAAGACCAAUCGUUUACGAUUAAUUUUGGGUGAUUUAUAUAUUUUUGAUCUUUGUAGCUUCUGAUUAUUUCCAUACUGUAAAAAUUCUUCUAUGUUUUAUGAAUAUACAAUAAAGAAAGAUGAUUCAAAAAUUACGCUUUCGACCGUUGAAAUUACGAAAUUACGAAAAGGUCAUGGUAAUCAAGAGAAAAUAAGUAUCGUAAAAUAGUUGCAAACCAAACAGUCAGUCUUUUGAAUCUUCGAUGGAUUUCCUCUUAUUCGGAUUCCUAUGUAUUAUUGGAUUAAUAUUAAAUCAAGAAGCUGCAAAGACCGACAAUAAUGUAUUUGUCGACGUAUAUUUAGUAUACGUGUAUUUCAAGCAGGAGCUACAAUAAAAAGUAAGAAAUCAACUCGCUUGAUAUUUUAGAAAACCAUUGCGAAAAUUGCACAUGUUCUAAAGUUCUAAACUGUGGUGUUCACACAAAUAAAUAGAGAAAUUUUAAACUCCUUGCAUGAAAAGAGUAUUCCUAUUCGUACUAAGACGUGUGUGCUUAAUUGCACGAUUGCUUUACUGCGUUUAUGUGAAAGUAUAAAAAUGUAUAGAAUAAAGAUAUGAAACAAUGAAAUAUCGAAGUAAAGUGCUUGGGAGAAUAUCUGAACUGACAAUAGGUAGAGGGUAAUGAAAAUGUGAGCAACUAAAACAUCUGGGAACCAUGUGAAAUGUGUAUAAUAUAUAUAUUAUAAGAUAUAUAAAGCUGUAUCACAAUUUUCCGGAAAUAAUUGUAAUAUCCUAUAGGAAUGGAAAAUAUGAAAUCUUGUAAAUCCAUGUAUGAAAAUGAAAAUGAUCUAAAUGUCAUAUGCAAUAGGCUCGAAUAUGGAUUUCAAAAGAAACUGUUGAGAAAUUUCGAAACGGAUAUAAAAAUGAAAUGAAACGAUCGUAGUAAUAAUUAUUCUUCGAUGCCUUGUAAAUAUAUGUAUAAUAUAUAGUGUAAUAAAAGUAUACGAUGGACACUAUUCUAGUUUAAAAAGAGGACAAAUUUGAUUAAUGAUUCGUGAUAAAGUUAUAGGAGUUGGGUAAAUGAUAAUAAACAGUGGUAUAAGAUGCCUAAGCGAGACGAAAAAUUGCUUGCAUUUCACUGGAACGCGAAACCACACGAUUCAAAAAAGGACAAUACAAAAUGGAAAAAAGAUCAUAAAUAACAUUUGCGAUCAACUCAUGAAAACAGUGGACGAUCACUAUUGCAGUUUGCCGGUAAUAAGCGUUAAGUUGUGCGUUUAUUAAAGAUCCAACUGGUCUUUAUGUGUGGAUCCUUAGGCUGCAUUCUUUUUUUCUGUUUAUAUUUUAUUGUUCUCUAUGGCUGGAUCCGUCGUUUGGUCCGUUGCCAUUCGAUCGAUUCAUUUGUCUUUUUGUACCUUCUCGAUCAAUUCAAUACACGCGAGGAGAUCCAUGCCAAAGUCUAUGAAUUCCCACUGAAUGCCCUCCUUCGUAUACUCUUCUUGUUCGAGGACGAACAUGUGGUGAUUGAAGAACUGUUGAAGCUUCUCAUUGGUGAAGUUGAUGCAGAGCUGCUCGAAGCUGUUGAA